rnacentral:rRNA from 1 species
CACGUAGGGGGCAAGCGUUGUCCGGAUUUAUUGGGCGUAAAGAGCUCGUAGGCGGUUCGGUAAGUCGGGUGUGAAACCUCCAGGCUCAACCUGGAGACGCCACCCGAUACUGCUGUGACUAGAGUCCGGUAGGGGAGCGUGGAAUUCCUGGUGUAGCGGUGAAAUGCGCAGAUAUCAGGAGGAACACCGGUGGCGAAGGCGGGUCUCUGGGCCGAAACUGACGCUGAGGAGCGAAAGCGUGGGGAGCGAACAGG